UAUUGCAUUAGAAUCCACAGAGGAAAAUCAGACAUGACAAUGCAACCAUGAAGAUGUAAAAGCUUGUCUGGCAUGAUCUAACCUAUUUUAAUUUCUGAAAAAUGGUUGUUUGAGCCUAUAUAAAAUGCUUUCAAAUUACAAUCUUGCAAUUCUCAUUGGCUUGCUAAGCGAGACUGGCAGUUUGGGGCAAUAAACAUAAGGUAACAAAGUGGAAAAAACGUCCGGUCUUGUUGUUUAAUAACCUCAUUGAGAAUUUUUAUUUCAUCAGUCGUAUCAAAGUGCCUGAUCCAAAGCCCCUUGAAGUCCAGUGGAAAUGCUCCAACUGAUUUCAAUAGUCAUCUGAAGUUCAGUGGGGAGGAGUAACAGACAGAAUAAUACCAAGGAAACAAGACACAUUAGAAAUGUCCUGUCUCUGGGCUCCCAUUGCUAUAGUCCAUCAGUGUUUCACCAAUAUUAACAAACUUAUCCUCACAAAACCACCGUGAAGUAUGGAACUAUCACUACCUCAAUUUAUGGCUGGGGAACUGAGUCACCGAGAGAUUGAGACCUAACCAAGGUCAUCAAGGAAGUCUAUGGGAGAGAUGUUUGAAGUUGUCAACACACAGUAGAAGCAGGAUGAUACCUUUAUAAUUAACAGUAUAAAGUGAACUAAGAAUUUAAGCAGGGCACCUUCUUGCAAUGGUUAAUCAUAGCAAUCUUAUCCUGAACAAAAUAAUUUUAUCUGGCCACAGUUUUAUUAAGCAGCUUACACACAUGACCUGAAUAAUCAAUAAUCUAUUAUCUAUGUGAAAGCAACACUGAACCUGUCUUCAUGUUUUCUAGCCUACCCCCCUAUAUGCAUGGAACUCCCUCCUUGGACUAGUCAGCAAAGCCACUGUCCUUUCUUCCUUCCUCCUUUAGACCAACUUCUAUAACUGCUGUAAGUACAUGAAAUCAGCCAACCAGGGCAAAAUCCACAAAGGCUUUGAAGAGAAAACAAUCCCUCCCCAAACAAAACAAAAAUACAAACAACCUCCUCCCACAACAACACCCCAAACAAAACAAAUCUUUCUCCCCACAUUUAAGGGACCUGGAACCAUCAAGCUGGGGACAUAGCUAGCCUAUGUAACUGUGUGAACAUAUUGUUUAUAACCUUAUCUCCUUAUCCUCCCUUCAUUAUUGUUUUCCAUGCUCAAUUUACGUCUGUCUUAAAUGAGGCUGAAGUCUAGAAACCAUGUCUUUGGGGGUUGUAAAGCACCUCGUACACAGAGCACAAUGGAACCUGCGCUAAAUAAUG